GGCUGGUCCGAAGGUAGUGAGUUAUCUCACUUGAUUGUUCACAGGCAGUUAUAGAUUGAACUCCUUGUUCUACUAUUUUCCCCCCUCCUCACUACUGCACUUGACUAGUCUUAA
rnacentral:Y_RNA from 1 species